rnacentral:rRNA from 1 species
CCUACGGGAGGCAGCAGUGAGGAAUAUUGGUCAAUGGGCUUACGCCUGAACCAGCCAAGUCGCGUGCGGGAAGACUGCCCUAUGGGUUGUAAACCUCUUUUGUCAGGGGGCAACGCCGGCUACGUGUAGCCGGACUGAGAGUACCCGAAGAAAAAGAAUCGGCCAACUCCGUGCCGGCAGCCGCGGUAAUACGGAGGAUGCGAGCGUUAUCCGGAUUUAUUGGGUUUAAGGGGUGCGUAGGCGGAAUGCCAAGUCAGCGGUAAAAGCGCGGGGCUCAACCUCGCUCCGCCGUUGAAACUGGCGUUCUUGAGUGGGCGAGAAGUAUGCGGAAUGCGUGGUGUAGCGGUGAAAUGCAUAGAUAUCACGCAGAACUCCGAUUGCGAAGGCAGCAUACCGGCGCCCAACUGACGCUGAAGCACGAAGGCGUGGGUAUCGAACAGGAUUAGAUACCCUUGUAGUC